rnacentral:rRNA from 1 species
CAGCAGCCGCGGGAAUACGUAGGUGGCAAGCGUUGUCCGGAAUUAUUGGGCGUAAAGGGCUCGCAGGCGGUUUCUUAAGUCUGAUGUGAAAGCCCCCGGCUCAACCGGGGAGGGUCAUUGGAAACUGGGAAACUUGAGUGCAGAAGAGGAGAGUGGAAUUCCAUGUGUAGCGGUGAAAUGCGUAGAUAUAUGGAGGAACACCGGUGGCGAAAGCGGCCCCCUGGCUUGUAACUGACGCUGAGGCUCGAAAGCGUGGGGAGCAAACAGGAUUAGAUACCCGCGUAGUCCCUGUCUCUUAUAC